rnacentral:rRNA from 1 species
UGGGGAAUUUUGGACAAUGGGGGAAACCCUGAUCCAGCCAUCCCGCGUGUGCGAUGAAGGCCUUCGGGUUGUAAAGCACUUUUGGCAGGAAAGAAACGUCAUGGGUUAAUACCCCGUGAAACUGACGGCACCUGCAGAAUAAGCACCGGCUAACUACGUGCCAGCAGCCGCGGUAAUACGUAGGGUGCAAGCGUUAAUCGGAAUUACUGGGCGUAAAGCGUGCGCAGGCGGUUCGGAAAGAAAGAUGUGAAAUCCCAGAGCUCAACUUUGGAACUGCAUUUUUAACUACCGGGCUAGAGUGUGUCAGAGGGGGGUGGAAUUCCGCGUGUAGCAGUGAAAUGCGUAGAUAUGCGGAGGAACACCGGUGGCGAAGGCAGCCUCCUGGGAUAACACUGACGCUCAGGAACGAAAGCGUGGGGAGCAAACAGG